rnacentral:rRNA from 1 species
CAGCCGCCGCGGUAAUACAGAGGGUGCGAGCGUUAAUCGGAUUUACUGGGCGUAAAGCGUGCGUAGGCGGCUUUUUAAGUCGGAUGUGAAAUCCCUGAGCUUAACUUAGGAAUUGCAUUCGAUACUGGGAAGCUAGAGUAUGGGAGAGGAUGGUAGAAUUCCAGGUGUAGCGGUGAAAUGCGUUGAGAUCUGGAGGAAUACCGAUGGCGAAGGCAGCCAUCUGGCCUAAUACUGACGCUGAGGUACGAAAGCAUGGGGAGCAAACAGGAUUAGAUACCCGAGUAGUCCCUGUCUCUUAUAC